rnacentral:rRNA from 1 species
GAUGAACGCUGGCGGCGUGCCUAAUACAUGCAAGUCGAGCGAACAGACGAGGAGCUUGCUCCUCUGACGUUAGCGGCGGACGGGUGAGUAACACGUGGAUAACCUACCUAUAAGACUGGGAUAACUUCGGGAAACCGGAGCUAAUACCGGAUAAUAUAUUGAACCGCAUGGUUCAAUAGUGAAAGACGGUUUUGCUGUCACUUAUAGAUGGAUCCGCGCCGCAUUAGCUAGUUGGUAAGGUAACGGCUUAACAAGGCAACGAUGCGUAGCCGACCUGAGGGGGUGAUCGGCCACACUGGAACUGAGACACGGUCCAGACUCCUACGGGAGGCAGCAGUAGGGAAUCUUACGCAAUGGGCGAAAGCCUGACGGAGCAACGCCGCGUGAGUGAUGAAGGUCUUCGGAUCGUAAAACUCUGUUAUUAGGGAAGAACAAAUGUGUAAGUAACUAUGCACGUCUUGACGGUACCUAAUCAGAAAGCCACGGCUAACUACGUG